GUGAAUCAUCAAAUUUUUGAACGCAAAUUGCACUCUCCUCUGAGAGUAUGCCUGUUUGAGGGUCAGCCUAUAAAAAAUCGACAUCGUUUCUGUUUCGCGGUGGCGUUCGUCGUAUAUUGGGUCAUCUUCAAUCUGUUGGUUUUAAGCGACUUAAAAUUUUCUUUUUGGUUCCAUGAACGGUUCUAAGAUGUAUUUCUUUACACGUUUAAGCUAUCGUUUUUUAUUAGUCGUGA
rnacentral:misc_RNA from 1 species